UACGGAGGGGGCAAGCGUUGUUCGGAAUCAUUGGGCGUAAAGGGCGCGUAGGCGGCUGAUCAAGUCGGGUGUGAAAUCCCUCGGCUCAACCGAGGAACUGCAUUCGAUACUGGUCGGCUAGAGUCCGGGAGGGGAUGGUGGAAUUCCGAGUGUAGAGGUGAAAUUCGUAGAUAUUCGGAGGAACACCAGAAGCGAAGGCGGCCAACUGGCCCGAUACUGACGCUGAGGCGCGAAAGCGUGGGGAGCAAACAGG
rnacentral:rRNA from 1 species